rnacentral:misc_RNA from 1 species
GCAUGGCUUAAUCUUUGAGACAAGCAUAUGACUACUGGCAGGAUCAACCAGGUAGCAUUCUUUCUCGACUUCGGACCCGCAUUGGUGCCACAGGCCUGGACGGCCUGCGGUCAAUGAGGGUAGCGAGAGUCGUUCUUAUCGAGGGACUUGAUUGGAGCAACCGGAGGCCAAGACCCCCCCCACGUCCGCUUAAUUUUCCACAUCCGAGAGCACGAGCAGUUGACCUGUGGACCGAGACAGCCACGACAAAAGUCGGGCGACACACCUCCGGGACACGGGGACUGCUUUCGAGGUCCGCAUUGCAGCCGCAAGGCAACAAGGAGGACAGGUGCGGGGCUGUCUGACGAAUUUUUCCAUACGAUGGGAAGGCAACACA